rnacentral:rRNA from 1 species
UAGGGAAUAUUCGGCAAUGGGCGAAAGCCUGACCGAGCGACGCCGCGUGGGUGAUGAAGAUCUUUGGAUUUUAAAGCCCUGUUCGGGGGAACGAGGGAUCGAAGGGAAAUACUCUUUGAUCUUUGACGGUACCUCCGGAGAAAGCCCCGGCUAACUACGUGCCAGCAGCCGCGGUAAUACGUAGGGGGCAAGCGUUGUCCGGAAUUACUGGGUGUAAAGGGCGUGUAGGCGGCCCUUCAAGUUGAAUGUGAAAUCUCUCGGCUCAACUGAGAGCGGUCAUUCAAUACUGAGGGGAUACGAGGACAGAAGAGGGAAGUGGAAUUCCCGGUAUAGCGGUAAAAUGCGUAGAUAUCGGGAGGAACACCAGUGGCGAAGGCGGCUUCCUGGUCUGUCCCUGACGCUGAUGCGCGAAAGCCAGGGGAGCAAACGG